rnacentral:rRNA from 1 species
UAAGGAAUAUUGGUCAAUGGACGCAAGUCUGAACCAGCCAUGCCGCGUGAAGGAUGAAGGUCCUCUGGAUUGUAAACUUCUUUUAUAGGGGGCGAAAAAAGGUUUUUCUAAAUCACUUGACAGUACCCUAUGAAUAAGCACCGGCUAACUCCGUGCCAGCAGCCGCGGUAAUACGGAGGGUGCAAGCGUUAUCCGGAUUCACUGGGUUUAAAGGGUGCGUAGGCGGGUAGGUAAGUCAGAGGUGAAAUCCUGGAGCUUAACUCCAGAACUGCCUUUGAUACUAUCUAUCUUGAAUAUGGUGGAGGUAAGCGGAAUAUGUCAUGUAGCGGUGAAAUGCAUAGAUAUGACAUAGAACACCUAUUGCGAAGGCAGCUUACUACGCCUAUAUUGACGCUGAGGCACGAAAGCGUGGGGAUCAAACA